AAUAAUCAAACCAAAGUAAUUAAGAAAACUAUAAUUUAAAUCAGAGAGGGUUUCAUCAAUGUUGUUUUAACUUGUUUUUAUUAUGUACAAAAUAAAAGGCAUCACCCUUGAUUGGGUGGAAUGCAUUGGAAGAGAAGAAGAGAGAGGGAACUUACAAACGACCAUGAGCCCUGUGCUCUGCAGGUGCAUGCCAAUGAAGUUGUUUCAAUGAAUAAUUCAUUCCAUUUAUAUUAAUAUCUCCCACUUUUCCUUCAAAAUGCACCUAUAAAUACCAAACUCAACCAUAUUAGUUAGUUAAUAUCAGAAUUUUCCUUUGACAAAACCUUUACACUUAGACCUUGCUAAUAAUAAUAAUAACAACAACAAUAAUAAUAAUAGUAAUAUACAUCAGACAACAAUUAUCGUAUCAAACAUCAAACACGUUUUCAUAUGAAGUGUCGGUGUUACAUGGUUAAUCAGGAAGGUAGUUUCUGUCUAAGGAUUUCAUAUCCUGGUUCAUGACAACAUCUGUUAUUACAAGAUCCACUGGACUCUAUGCUUUCCCAUUUUGAAGGGCUGUGGCCAACAAUGAAGACCGACUCGUGAUGAUUACGAAAGGCUUAAGAAUGGUUCGAAAAAUGACCCCUCUCCAACUGAUCUCUAGCUAGCAAAUCCAGCUCUGCCAGAGGAGUCAAGGGUGCAGCCGAUGUCCGGCCACAUCUGUCGCCCAGAACACUUCCUCUUCCAUUCAGACCUGCUAAUUUUCUUAAAUCUUUUUUAUUAAGUUCCCAUUUAACAAAAAUUUCCUAAAUAUUAUGUAGUUGUAAUAUAUUUGCCAGAAAGAUACAAUAUAAUCAUUUAUGAUUAAAGAAUUUUAGUUAAUUUUAUAUACGAUGAUGGUUAGUGGUUAGUGCUUAAUGCCAAGCCUAGGUAAGCCUACUGUAUAGGAACUCAUUAUAUUAUAAUGAGUUUUCAAAAUGGUUUUAUUCUUGUUAAUUUUUUUUUUCUUUA